AUGUACAUUCCUACAACAUAGUGUUAAUGCACCAGACUCCAUUAAACUCUGCAGUUAAGCAUGCUUAGGCUAGAGUAGUACUGGGAUGCAUGACCGCCAAGGGAAGUCCUAGUGUUUUACAUG
rnacentral:rRNA from 1 species